rnacentral:rRNA from 1 species
GAGCGGUAAGGCCUUUCGGGGUACACGAGCGGCGAACGGGUGAGUAACACGUGGGUGAUCUGCCCUGCACUUCGGGAUAAGCCUGGGAAACUGGGUCUAAUACCGGAUAUGACCUCAGGUUGCAUGACUUGGGGUGGAAAGAUUUAUCGGUGCAGGAUGGGCCCGCGGCCUAUCAGCUUGUUGGUGGGGUAAUGGCCUACCAAGGCGACGACGGGUAGCCGACCUGAGAGGGUGACCGGCCACACUGGGACUGAGACACGGCCCAGACUCCUACGGGAGGCAGCAGUGGGGAAUAUUGCACAAUGGGCGAAAGCCUGAUGCAGCGACGCCGCGUGAGGGAUGACGGCCUUCGGGUUGUAAACCUCUUUCAGCAGGGACGAAGCGCAAGUGACGGUACCUGCAGAAGAAGCACCGGCUAACUACGUGCCAGCAGCCGCGGUAAUACGUAGGGUGCAAGCGUUGUCCGGAAUUACUGGGCGUAAAGAGUUCGUAGGCGGUUUGUCGCGUCGUUUGUGAAAACCAGCAGCUCAACUGCUGGCUUGCAGGCGAUACGGGCAGACUUGAGUACUGCAGGGGAGACUGGAAUUCCUGGUGUAGCGGUGAAAUGCGCAGAUAUCAGGAGGAA